UACAGAGGGGGCAAGCGUUGUUCGGAAUUACUGGGCGUAAAGGGCGCGUAGGCGGCCCGCUAAGUCGAACGUGAAAUCCCCGAGCUCAACUCGGGAACUGCGUCCGAUACUGGCGGGCUUGAAUCCGGGAGAGGGAUGCGGAAUUCCAGGUGUAGCGGUGAAAUGCGCAGAUAUCAGGAGGAACACCGGUGGCGAAGGCGGGUCUCUGGGCCGAAACUGACGCUGAGGAGCGAAAGCGUGGGGAGCAAACAGG
rnacentral:rRNA from 1 species